rnacentral:rRNA from 1 species
UACGUAGGGGGCAAGCGUUGUCCGGAAUCAUUGGGCGUAAAGCGCGUGUAGGCGGUUCGGUAAGUCUGCUGUGAAAGUCCAGGGCUCAACCCUGGGAUGCCGGUGGAUACUGUCGGACUAGAGUACGGAAGAGGCGAGUGGAAUUCCCGGUGUAGCGGUGAAAUGCGCAGAGUAUCGGGAAGGAACACCGGUGGCGAAGGCGGGUCUCUGGGCCGAUACUGACGCUGAGGAGCGAAAGCGUGGGGAGGCGAACAGG